UUUUUUUUUCUUUUUCCUUCUUCUUCCCCGAAACACCAAAACACGCACAGUACCUUUAUUUUUUUUUCUCUCCCACCGGCCGUUUCUCUCUCCCGUAUCUUUUCAAAUUCCGGCCACCUACACAGUACACGCGCCGGCCAGUGACGUGCGGAAGGAGGAGGCGAGCUCGGCCGCCAAGUUUCACGGCCAGCCGUCGCCGGACGCGCGCCGAUCGGGCCGAAGAAGCCGCCGGCCGCCGGAUUUUCUCUCUCCUCUUUUCUUGUGUUUUCUGGCCAGCCCACUCCCAAUUGAGCCUCCUAUCCCCCUAUUUUGGGUCCUCUGAAUUCAAAAAUGGCCUCCAAUCCCAAAAAUUCGAAGCGGUUUGCGAGAUACGAGGGAUUGAAAACCGGCCGAAACUUCCCGACCAAAUUCCGGCCAUCUCCGGCGGAAUUGGGGUCGAUGGAGACCGGAUUGGUGAUCCUCGUCCCAUGAGCUUCGAUUCGAAGCACAGGUGAGUCGUGAAAUUGAUCCCGUGGUGAAUCAUGGGUUAAUUGCGUGCUCCAGGUGCAAGUGGUGGUAGACGUUCUUCCGGAGCGAACCAAGUUUUCCGCUGCUGUUGUGUUUCGAGAAGUACUUCUGUACUCUUUCAUUUCAGUGUAUUAUUUCUUUCAGCCUUGUUGUAUUUCUGUUGUUUAGCACUUCUUAAAGCUCUGUAUACUAUUGGGAUAUUUCUGUUUUAUUUAUGCACUGGACUGUUGUUGCUUUUGAGAA